rnacentral:pre_miRNA from 1 species
CAACUACUCCCUCCGUUCCGAAUUACUCGUCGCAGAAAUGGAUGUAUCUAGAUGUAUUUUAGUUCUAGAUACAUCCAUUUCUGCGACAAGUAAUUUGGAACGGAGGGAGUAGCUA